rnacentral:lncRNA from 1 species
AGCAAAAUAUCUGAAAAAAAAAAUAAAAAUAGGCUUAUACUUGAUGGAAGAAAACGUGGCAAAUAAAGAACUUCUAAAGCAACUAUUCCAAGGAAGUUUCGCAUCACCCAUGCGAAGCUUUUUCUUCGAUUGCGACUCCUGUUUGUUUUUCUAAUAUUUGAUGACUUUUCUCUUAGACACAUUACUUAGAGCAAAUUGCACCCACUUUUGACUAAAUAACAAACACACCCCCUACUUUAGUAUUAAAACAACCACUAACCACCCUUAUAUUCUAGAAAAUAGCGAAUGACCAUUGGCUAAACCUUUUUUGAGAAUGGGAUUUACAUGUGCAAUUGAUUUAGAAAUAGAACGAACUUACACAAAUUCUGAAUACAGAUUCAUGAAAUAGAAUGAACCUACACAAUCACAAUAAAUAGAAGAGAAGAGAAAGCUUAGAAGUGGAAGAAGAAAUGUUCAACAAUGAAGUGAAGUAGAAGAGCUCAUAACAAUGUGAGGGAAAGUGAGAGAGUUAACAGAGAUUUAAUGGUGUUAAGAUGGAAGGGAGGAGUUUGUUAAUUUGAUACUAAAAUAAGGGAGGUUAGUGUCUGGUUUGAAAUUAGAGUGGGUGUUUAUGUUAUUUAAGUCAACCUUAGGGGAGGUUAGUAUAAUUUACCCAAUUACUACUUAUUGGUAACACUUAUGUCUUUAUUUAAUUCUUUUUUUUUUUCGUUUAUGUUUUUAUCUAUCAAAACAUGCAAAUAGUUUAUCCUUUUUUUUUUCUUUCUAUUUUUUGUAAAAACGUUUUGUGUAUUAAAAAUGUUGAUGGGCCACUGACAAAUAAUUCUUAUGUGGAUUGAAAUUGAUAGUUAAGGUAAAAAAAUUG